GUGGGGAAUAUUGCACAAUGGACGGAAGUCUGAUGCAGCAACGCCGCGUGCGGGAUGACGGCCUUCGGGUUGUAAACCGCUUUCACCAGGGGCGAAUUUGACGGUACCUGGAGAAGAAGCACCGGCUAACUACGUGCCAGCAGCCGCGGUGAUACGUAGGGUGCGAGCGUUGUCCGGAUUUAUUGGGCGUAAAGAGCUCGUAGGUGGUUUGUUGCGUCGGGAGUGAAAACACGCAGCUUAACUGUGUGCUUGCUUUCGAUACGGGCAGACUUGAGGGAUGUAGGGGAGAACGGAAUUCCUGGUGGAGCGGUGGAAUGCGCAGAUAUCAGGAGGAACACCGGUGGCGAAGGCGGUUCUCUGGACAUUUCCUGACGCUGAGGAGCGAAAGCGUGGGGAGCAAACAGGCUUAGAAACCCUAGUAGUCC
rnacentral:rRNA from 1 species